GACGAACGCUGGCGGCGUGCUUAACACAUGCAAGUCGAACGAAGAGCGAUGGAAGCUUGCUUCUAUCAAUCUUAGUGGCGAACGGGUGAGUAACGCGUAAUCAACCUGCCCUUCAGAGGGGGACAACAGUUGGAAACGACUGCUAAUACCGCAUACGAUCCAAUCUCGGCAUCGAGACUGGAUGAAAGGUGGCCUCUAUUUAUAAGCUAUCACUGAAGGAGGGGAUUGCGUCUGAUUAGCUAGUUGGAGGGGUAACGGCCCACCAAGGCGAUGAUCAGUAGCCGGUCUGAGAGGAUGAACGGCCACAUUGGGACUGAGACACGGCCCAGACUCCUACGGGAGGCAGCAGUGGGAAUCUUCCGCAAUGGACGAAAGUCUGACGGAGCAACGCCGCGUGAGUGAUGACGGCCUUCGGGUUGUAAAGCUCUGUUAAUCGGGACGAAUGGUUCUUGUGCGAAUAGUGCGAGGAUUGACG
rnacentral:rRNA from 1 species